rnacentral:rRNA from 1 species
GGGUUGUGAGGUUAAGCGACUAAGCGUACACGGUGGAUGCCCUGGCAGUCAGAGGCGAUGAAGGACGUGCUAAUCUGCGAUAAGCGUCGGUAAGGUGAUAUGAACCGUUAUAACCGGCGAUUUCCGAAUGGGGAAACCCAGUGUGUUUCGACACACUAUCAUUAACUGAAUCCAUAGGUUAAUGAGGCGAACCGGGGGAACUGAAACAUCUAAGUACCCCGAGGAAAAGAAAUCAACCGAGAUUCCCCCAGUAGCGGCGAGCGAACGGGGAGCAGCCCAGAGCCUGAAUCAGUGUGUGUGUUAGUGGAAGCGUCUGGAAAGGCGCGCGAUACAGGGUGACAGCCCCGUACACAAAAAUGCACAUGCUGUGAGCUCGAUGAGUAGGGCGGGACACGUGGUAUCCUGUCUGAAUAUGGGGGGACCAUCCUCCAAGGCUAAAUACUCCUGACUGACCGAUAGUGAACCAGUACCGUGAGGGAAAGGCGAAAAGAACCCCGGCGAGGGGAGUGAAAAAGAACCUGAAACCGUGUACGUACAAGCAGUGGGAGCACGCUUAGGCGUGUGACUGCGUACCUUUUGUAUAAUGGGUCAGCGACUUAUAUUCUGUAGCAAGGUUAACCGAAUAGGGGAGCCGAAGGGAAACCGAGUCUUAACUGGGCGUUAAGUUGCAGGGUAUAGACCCGAAACCCGGUGAUCUAGCCAUGGGCAGGUUGAAGGUUGGGUAACACUAACUGGAGGACCGAACCGACUAAUGUUGAAAAAUUAGCGGAUGACUUGUGGCUGGGGGUGAAAGGCCAAUCAAACCGGGAGAUAGCUGGUUCUCCCCGAAAGCUAUUUAGGUAGCGCCUCGUGAAUUCAUCUCCGGGGGUAGAGCACUGUUUCGGCAAGGGGGUCAUCCCGACUUACCAACCCGAUGCAAACUGCGAAUACCGGAGAAUGUUAUCACGGGAGACACACGGCGGGUGCUAACGUCCGUCGUGAAGAGGGAAACAACCCAGACCGCCAGCUAAGGUCCCAAAGUCAUGGUUAAGUGGGAAACGAUGUGGGAAGGCCCAGACAGCCAGGAUGUUGGCUUAGAAGCAGCCAUCAUUUAAAGAAAGCGUAAUAGCUCACUGGUCGAGUCGGCCUGCGCGGAAGAUGUAACGGGGCUAAACCAUGCACCGAAGCUGCGGCAGCGACACUGUGUGUUGUUGGGUAGGGGAGCGUUCUGUAAGCCUGUGAAGGUGUGCUGUGAGGCAUGCUGGAGGUAUCAGAAGUGCGAAUGCUGACAUAAGUAACGAUAAAGCGGGUGAAAAGCCCGCUCGCCGGAAGACCAAGGGUUCCUGUCCAACGUUAAUCGGGGCAGGGUGAGUCGACCCCUAAGGCGAGGCCGAAAGGCGUAGUCGAUGGGAAACAGGUUAAUAUUCCUGUACUUGGUGUUACUGCGAAGGGGGGACGGAGAAGGCUAUGUUGGCCGGGCGACGGUUGUCCCGGUUUAAGCGUGUAGGCUGGUUUUCCAGGCAAAUCCGGAAAAUCAAGGCUGAGGCGUGAUGACGAGGCACUACGGUGCUGAAGCAACAAAUGCCCUGCUUCCAGGAAAAGCCUCUAAGCAUCAGGUAACAUCAAAUCGUACCCCAAACCGACACAGGUGGUCAGGUAGAGAAUACCAAGGCGCUUGAGAGAACUCGGGUGAAGGAACUAGGCAAAAUGGUGCCGUAACUUCGGGAGAAGGCACGCUGAUAUGUAGGUGAAGCGACUUGCUCGUGGAGCUGAAAUCAGUCGAAGAUACCAGCUGGCUGCAACUGUUUAUUAAAAACACAGCACUGUGCAAACACGAAAGUGGACGUAUACGGUGUGACGCCUGCCCGGUGCCGGAAGGUUAAUUGAUGGGGUCAGCGCAAGCGAAGCUCUUGAUCGAAGCCCCGGUAAACGGCGGCCGUAACUAUAACGGUCCUAAGGUAGCGAAAUUCCUUGUCGGGUAAGUUCCGACCUGCACGAAUGGCGUAAUGAUGGCCAGGCUGUCUCCACCCGAGACUCAGUGAAAUUGAACUCGCUGUGAAGAUGCAGUGUACCCGCGGCAAGACGGAAAGACCCCGUGAACCUUUACUAUAGCUUGACACUGAACAUUGAGCCUUGAUGUGUAGGAUAGGUGGGAGGCUUUGAAGUGUGGACGCCAGUCUGCAUGGAGCCGACCUUGAAAUACCACCCUUUAAUGUUUGAUGUUCUAACGUUGACCCGUGAUCCGGGUUGCGGACAGUGUCUGGUGGGUAGUUUGACUGGGGCGGUCUCCUCCUAAAGAGUAACGGAGGAGCACGAAGGUUGGCUAAUCCUGGUCGGACAUCAGGAGGUUAGUGCAAUGGCAUAAGCCAGCUUGACUGCGAGCGUGACGGCGCGAGCAGGUGCGAAAGCAGGUCAUAGUGAUCCGGUGGUUCUGAAUGGAAGGGCCAUCGCUCAACGGAUAAAAGGUACUCCGGGGAUAACAGGCUGAUACCGCCCAAGAGUUCAUAUCGACGGCGGUGUUUGGCACCUCGAUGUCGGCUCAUCACAUCCUGGGGCUGAAGUAGGUCCCAAGGGUAUGGCUGUUCGCCAUUUAAAGUGGUACGCGAGCUGGGUUUAGAACGUCGUGAGACAGUUCGGUCCCUAUCUGCCGUGGGCGCUGGAGAACUGAGGGGGGCUGCUCCUAGUACGAGAGGACCGGAGUGGACGCAUCACUGGUGUUCGGGUUGUCAUGCCAAUGGCACUGCCCGGUAGCUAAAUGCGGAAGAGAUAAGUGCUGAAAGCAUCUAAGCACGAAACUUGCCCCGAGAUGAGUUCUCCCUGACUCCUUGAGAGUCCUGAAGGAACGUUGAAGACGACGACGUUGAUAGGCCGGGUGUGUAAGCGCAGCGAUGCGUUGAGCUAACCGGUACUAAUGAACCGUGAGGCUUAACCUUACAACGCCGAAGCUGUU